UUAUAUAAUAUACUAUAAUAAUAUAACACUUUUGAGCUCGUCAAAGAAAUUGAAAUAUCAUUGAUACAUAAUUGAAAUUGUGGGGGACAUUUAAAAAGUACUAACAUUAUUUUUUUAUUUUUUUUUAAUUUAUCAUUUUUUUAAUACCCUCUAUCACUAAAACGUUCCAUGCAUAAACAUUUGUAAUAAAUGCAAUACGGAAUUAAAGGUUUAUGACAUGCCAUUGUUUCACAAUCAUCGUCUUGUUCACAAGACCAUGGCUGCUUAACUACAAUAUCAAAUAAAAAUAAAGGACUGUUAGUUGUCAAAUAUUGUGUAUAUCGAGUGCAGAUCCUCUACGGUGAUAUAUUUAUGGAUGUGCUUUGUUAUAGAUCUCGGUCAUUCAAUUUUUUUUCAGUCAUAUGAAUGGUGUGAUAUAAAAAUAAAAUAGAUGGCUGAGAUGUCACCGUAAAAAAACUUGUUUUUUUUUUUACAGACCGUAGAAAAACUUUAUAUGAGUUGUAUAUCAUAUAAAAGAAAAAUUGAAAACAAUGUGAAAAAAUUACUUACCAGCUGGCCUUAAGACGCCAUUGGUUACGACAAGAAACAUGGAAAUACAGAUUAUCAAAGUAUAAAUAAACUUGAGAAGUUUAAUCAUAUUAUUUUUUCCUUUGCAUGCCAUCGAUUGAAAAUUGUUUAAUUAUUGUAUAACUAAAAACUC
rnacentral:lncRNA from 1 species